AGAGGUUCGUCUCUGUUCUUCUCCCUUCUCUUGCUACUUAUUCUAGAGUUCGUAUCAUUGGUUGAAGAGAACGAAGAACUGAAGGGCGGAGAUGGGGCGGGAAGCAGCGCUGCGGACGAGCCUAGUGGCCCUGGCCGCGGUGAUGGCCGUCGUCGGGAUCUGGACUUUCUCCCCCAAGAAGGCGCUGGUCACCUACGCCUUCGGGAUCGUCGGCAUCGCCGGGUUCCUCUUGCCCGACUGGGAGUACUUCGACCGGGACCUCUCGCAGUGGUUCAUCCCCAUGCCCGCUCGGAGAACCGCCGCCGCGGCCGACCGGGCCCCCGGCAGCUCAAGAGGCUAUUGUUGCAGACGAUCAAACUGACUCUUGAGUGGAUCUUGAUGGGUUCCCAUUGAAAGAAUCUUGAUGUGCUAGGUUAAUGAAUCUGUAAAGGAAACCGAGGAUUCCAAACUGCAUCUCGGGGAGACGGAAACCCGAAACAAGAUUUGUGAUGCUGAUUUCACUUAUGUCCUCUGAGAGUGUUAGUAAUGAGCCUGACCUAUGGCUUUGGUUUAUACAAGUGGUGGAUGUUCAUAUCAAGCUAGUCUCUUUGGCCUCAUGAGGCUGUCUACAAUGACAACUAUUGUCUUUUGCCAGACAAUGCGAAAGUCCCUCUAUGACAUGGUUUCUUAUUCUUUGGUUAAACAGGAGUAUCUUAGAAUCAGGCUAUGUUGCUCUUAUCAUAUUCAACAAUGUUAUUUGCAAGAGUAGCUUCACAUCAUGGCAAAGCAUCCUUGUUCUUGAGCCAAUGAAGGACUUGUGUCACUCCAGCCAACAAAUCAGCAGCAUCCCUCCUCAGUAUAUACCAAUUUGUAAAGAACUUGUGGAAGGCAUUAUCUGGAUUUAGUAUUUCUUAUUGUCUAAUGAUGAUUUAGAUAAUAAUGAUGGUAAAUUUUAUAA